GUUUUUCGUAGGUGAACCUGCGGAAGGAUCAUUG
rnacentral:rRNA from 1 species